UACGUAGGGUGCGAGCGUUAAUCGGAAUUACUGGGCGUAAAGCGUGCGCAGGCGGUUCGUUGUGUCGGCGGUGAAAGCCCCGGGCUCAACCUGGGAAUGGCCGUUGAAACUAGCGGGCUUGAGUGUGGCAGAGGGGGGUGGAAUUCCACGUGUAGCAGUGAAAUGCGUAGAGAUGUGGAGGAACACCGAUGGCGAAGGCAGCCCCCUGGGUCAACACUGACGCUCAUGCACGAAAGCGUGGGGAGCAAACAGG
rnacentral:rRNA from 1 species